AUUCCGUAAAACACUAUGCGUAACUAUGUACACGAGCUCGUGGUCUAAUGAUUUGAGACCACUUGUAUGUAUUAUACAGAUUGCAAACCAAUAUAUAUUACCUAAUUAUAUGCAACGGGUAUAAAACUACUAUAUAGUAUGAUACACUUAGUGCUUUUUUUUGUUUCUGAUUCAUUCUAGUUGAAGCCAAAGACAGUAAAAAUGAGCUUUAUUCUGACGUACGUUAUGUUUCAAUUACUUUAUCAGCAUGCAAGAGGAUGCGCUAACUUAGUAAUGUUAACAAAACCGGUGGUAUUUGGAGAAAGUGUACAACUUGCAUGCAUGGCUAACGAAACUGAAAUUCCUCUUGAUAAACCACACAGCAGAAGCUGGUCAGGUGGACCCUAUGAUGCAUUAUUGUGUAUGAAUGGUGUUUCUGCAGAUAGGUCAAAGUAUAAUGAAGUAAAAGGAAAAGAUAAAUCUCAGUACAUCUUACGAAUUAGUAACUUUUCUGAGUCGGACGUAGAUUGUGAAUAUAAAUGUGUGUUUGGUGUGGAUAUCACACGAACAACACUUCAUCUCAACGAGAGAGACUAUGAAUAUGUACCUUCAAGGGAAACCACUACUGUGAUAUCA